CCCCAUCAUGGGGCUUGAACCCACGCCCACAAGGUUAAGAGCUUUGUGCUUUACCAACCGAGCAGUGGA
rnacentral:tRNA from 1 species